AUUGAACGCUGGCGGCAGGCUUAACACAUGCAAGUCGAGCGGGGUGAUGGUGCUUGCACUAUCACUUAGCGGCGGACGGGUGAGUAAUGCUUAGGAAUCUGCCUAUUAGUGGGGGACAACAACUCGAAAGGGAUGCUAAUACCGCAUACGUCCUACGGGAGAAAGCAGGGGAUCACUUGUGACCUUGCGCUAAUAGAUGAGCCUAAGUCGGAUUAGCUAGUUGGUGGGGUAAAGGCCUACCAAGCGACGAUCUGUAGCGGGUCUGAGAGGAUGAUCCGCCACACUGGGACUGAGACACGGCCCAGACUCCUACGGGAGGCAGCAGUGGGGAAUAUUGGACAAUGGGGGGAACCCUGAUCCAGCCAUGCCGCGUGUGUGAAGAAGGCCUUAUGGUUGUAAAGCACUUUAAGCGAGGAGGAGGCUCUCUUGGUUAAUACCCAAGAUGAGUGGACGUUACUCGCAGAAUAAGCACCGGCUAACUCUGUGCCAGCCGCCGCGGUAA
rnacentral:rRNA from 1 species